GACGAACGCUGGCGGCGUGCUUAACACAUGCAAGCCGAGCGAUGAAGCACCUUCGGGUGUGAAUUAGCGGCGAACGGGUGAGGAACACGUGAGAAAUCUGCCUUCAACACUGGGAUAGCUCCGGGAAACCGGGGCUAAUACCGGAUAUGAAACCUGCGGGCAUCCGCGGGUUUGGAAAGUUUUUCGGUUGAAGAUGAUCUCGCGGCCUAUCAGCUUGUUGGUGAGGUAAUGGCUCACCAAGGCGACGACGGGUAGCCGGCCUGAGAGGGCGACCGGCCACACUGGGACUGAGACACGGCCCAGACUCCUACGGGAGGCAGCAGUGGGGAAUAUUGGGCAAUGGAGGAAACUCUGACCCAGCGACGCCGCGUGCGGGAUGAAGGCCUUCGGGUUGUAAACCGCUUUCAUCAGGGAAGAAGCGAAAGUGACGGUACCUGCAGAAGAAGCACCGGCUAACUAUGUGCCAGCCGCCGCAGUAA
rnacentral:rRNA from 1 species